GCACAGAGAGCUUGCUCUCGGGUGACGAGCGGCGGACGGGUGAGUAAUGUCUGGGAAACUGCCUGAUGGAGGGGGAUAACUACUGGAAACGGUAGCUAAUACCGCAUAACGUCGCAAGACCAAAGUGGGGGACCUUCGGGCCUCAUGCCAUCAGAUGUGCCCAGAUGGGAUUAGCUAGUAGGUGGGGUAACGGCUCACCUAGGCGACGAUCCCUAGCUGGUCUGAGAGGAUGACCAGCCACACUGGAACUGAGACACGGUCCAGACUCCUACGGGAGGCAGCAGUGGGGAAUAUUGCACAAUGGGCGCAAGCCUGAUGCAGCCAUGCCGCGUGUAUGAAGAAGGCCUUCGGGUUGUAAAGUACUUUCAGCGGGGAGGAAGGCGAUAAGGUUAAUAACCUUGUC
rnacentral:rRNA from 1 species